rnacentral:lncRNA from 1 species
AGAGCCUCCUCCUAGCUGCCCAUGAGCCAGUCUUCUUCUAGCAGACUUCAGAUGAAGAUGUAGAACUCUCAGCUCCUCCUACACCAUGCCUGCCUGGAUACUGCCAUGCUCCUGCCUUGAUGAUAAUGGACUGAACCUCUGAACCUAUGAGGAGAUGAGACUCCCAGGAGGAUGAGGGCCACCCACAGGGCUAUGGAAGAGGCUCAAGACUGAUGAGGAAGGAAGAAAAUCAGCUGGAUCCUCAAGACACAAACAGACUAACAGACUCUUUCAUUGCAACCUUUAGGGCGGAGGAAAUUUGACAUAGGAUGCAGGGGCAUCAUACGAUCGACUAUGAGCAAUGUGCCCACCGCGUGAGCCUCUCAGGACACAGGAAGUAAACCAACAGUCUCACUUUCCAGUGUCUCACCUCGGCUUCUCUUCUGUUCUCUUUAAUUUGUCUUCAGAGCACUGAGCAGUGGUCGUCCUUGGUCCCAGACAAUACUGUCUCUAAGAGAAGACCAACACAGUUAGAGACAGGACGGCCCAAAGGAGAAUCAGAUCCGUCCAGUUUAGGCCAUGUAUCUAGUUAUGGACCCGUCAGCUUUGACAAAGGAGCUAGGGUCUUGUAGCGUGCUUGUUCUUAUAGAAGGUGCAGGUCAGAGGGCCUGGCUGCCCACGUCCUCCUUGGAGACUCAGAAAGAAAUAAGAAUUUCAAGAGAUAGUAGUGAAGUGGUUUACAGAAAAGAAUUUCCGAAUUUUCCUUUUCUUUUCCUCAGUCCUUAUUGCAUUAACCUUGUGAUUGUCAACAUACUUGUGUGUUGCUGAAUAUUUUAAGAAAAAUCAACAAAUGUUACCUUGAAACAAUAACAAAGCCCAGAAAAAUGCAAAACAGCCUUGGUCUGUCCCAGCGUCUUUCAUCUGAGAGCACAGAGAGCCAGCGCUAGCCUGGGGAGGGGGUGUGUGGCUAGAAUGUGUGUGUGCUCAGGGCUUUCAUUAAAAACACAUUUUAUUUACUUUAAAAAAAAAAA